rnacentral:pre_miRNA from 1 species
UUAGUAUUUGACAGAUCACGUGGGAUUUCAGACAUGGUGUCAAAGAGAAAGANUCUUUCUCUUUGACACCAUGUCUGAAAUCCCACGUGAUCUGUCAAA